rnacentral:rRNA from 1 species
AUUGAACGCUGGCGGCAGGCCUAACACAUGCAAGUCGAGCGGAUGAAGGGAGCUUGCUCCUGGAUUCAGCGGCGGACGGGUGAGUAAUGCCUAGGAAUCUGCCUGGUAGUGGGGGAUAACGUCCGGAAACGGGCGCUAAUACCGCAUACGUCCUGAGGGAGAAAGUGGGGGAUCUUCGGACCUCACGCUAUCAGAUGAGCCUAGGUCGGAUUAGCUAGUUGGUGGGGUAAAGGCCUACCAAGGCGACGAUCCGUAACUGGUCUGAGAGGAUGAUCAGUCACACUGGAACUGAGACGCGGUCCAGACUCCUACGGGAGGCAGCAGUGGGGAAUAUUGGACAAUGGGCGAAAGCCUGAUCCAGCCAUGCCGCGUGUGUGAAGAAGGUCUUCGGAUUGUAAAGCACUUUAAGUUGGGAGGAAGGGCAGUAAGUUAAUACCUUGCUGUUUUGACGUUACCAACUGAAUAAGCACCGGCUAACUUCGUG